rnacentral:rRNA from 1 species
AUUGAACGCUGGCGGCAGGCUUAACACAUGCAAGUCGAGCGGAGAUGAGGUGCUUGCACCUUAUCUUAGCGGCGGACGGGUGAGUAAUGCUUAGGAAUAUGCCCAUUAGUGGGGGACAACAUUCCGAAAGGAAUGCUACUACCGCACACGCCCUACGGGGGAAAGCAGGGGAUAUUCGGACCUUGCGCUAAUAGAUGAGCCUAAGUCGGAUUAGCUAGUUGGUGGGAUAAAGGCCUACCAAGGCGACGAUCUGUAGCGGGUCUGAGAGGAUGAUCCGCCACACUGGGACUGAGACACGGCCCAGACUCCUACGGGAGGCAGCAGUGGGGAAUAUUGGACAAUGGGGGAAACCCUGAUCCAGCCAUGCCGCGUGUGUGAAGAAGGCCUUAUGGUUGUAAAGCACUUUAAGCGAGGAGGAGGCUACUGAGACUAAUACUCUUGGAUAGUGGACGUACUCGCAGAAUAAGCACCGGCUAACUCUGUGCCAGCAGCCGCCGUAAGAC